GGAAAGUUUUUGAUUGUCAUCAGGUAAGUAUUGCAGAUGUCCUUAUAAUCAUCCAGUGUGGAAGUCGUCAGUGUUGUUGUCACCGAUGAUUGGCAUGAGUUGUUACGAGUUGAGAUUAGUUGGAAUCGUGUUAAACUGUAGUUGUGAGGUGAGUACAUCAUACAGACACACACACAAACAUUUAUACUUAUAGUGAGUGUCUGGAUCACUCUUUUAAUCGUUCAUCUAAAUGGAUUGCUGCAAUGUGUUUCUCAACGACAGCGAUUCAGUGAGACCCUCCAUAUUGCUGCCAUAUGCUGCGUCUAUUUGGUCAAGUGGGCCAAAUAGUUUGAUAUCAGCAGCUUUUAUGCCAGUGCACUAUAUUG